UUCCGUAGGUGAACCUGCGGAAGGAUCAUUACUGAGUGCGGGCUGCCUCCGGGCGCCCAACCUCCCACCCGUGAAUACCUAACACUGUUGCUUCGGCGGGGAACCCCCUCGGGGGCGAGCCGCCGGGGACUACUGAACUUCAUGCCUGAGAGUGAUGCAGUCUGAGUCUGAAUAUAAAAUCAGUCAAAACUUUCAACAAUGGAUCUCUUGGUUCCGGCAUCGAUGAAGAACGCAGCGAACUGCGAUAAGUAAUGUGAAUUGCAGAAUUCAGUGAAUCAUCGAGUCUUUGAACGCACAUUGCGCCCCCUGGCAUUCCGGGGGGCAUGCCUGUCCGAGCGUCAUUGCUGCCCAUCAAGCCCGGCUUGUGUGUUGGGUCGUCGUCCCCCCCGGGGGACGGGCCCGAAAGGCAGCGGCGGCACCGUGUCCGGUCCUCGAGCGUAUGGGGCUUUGUCACCCGCUCGACUAGGGCCGGCCGGGCGCCAGCCGACGUCUCCAACCAUUUUUCUUCAGGUUGACCUCGGAUCAGGUAGGGAUACCCGCUGAACUUAAGCAUAUCAAUAAGGCGGAGGAA
rnacentral:misc_RNA from 1 species